CCACGACUACAUUAGAUACCCGCGUAGUCCUAGCCGUAAACGAUACUCGCUAGGUGUCGGCCACGGUGCGACCGUUGUCGGUGCCGUAGGGAAGCCGUGAAGCGAGCCACCUGGGAAGUACGGCCGCAAGGCUGAAACUUAAAGGAAUUGGCGGGGGAGCACAACAACGGGUGGAGCUUGCGGUUUAAUUGGAUUCAACGCCGGAAAUCUUACCGGGACCGACAGCAACAUGAAGGCCAAGCUGAAGACUUUGCCGGAUUAGCUG
rnacentral:rRNA from 1 species